ACACAGGAGAGGAGGUGGUCCAACGUUGAAUAGCUACUGGACUUCAUGUGAGGUGGCUGUCCGCUAGUACCACGGGACGAUCUCCGACGGCCGAUGGAAGCCGGAAUGUGGUACCGGCAAAUUCCAGGCAGUCACCCGUGAUCCCCGGGUUCGGGCCCGUCCAGCCCGAUCACGCACCAUCCAGUGCGGCCCGGGGAUCAUGUAUGUC
rnacentral:sRNA from 1 species